rnacentral:lncRNA from 1 species
UAGCUGUCUCCAGCACACCACUCGACAGGUUACCUGGAAGUCUUGGCUAGUGGCGUAUUGAAGCAGAUCUGAAGUUUACGCCCAUUUAAUAAAGCCCCGUGUAUGUCCAGCUACUGCUUUGUAAAGACAACAUCCCACCCCAACUGGAUGAAUUGCAAAGGUACCAAGAUCUCAUUUAGAAAUCCUCACUAUUUUCAUGUGAUUUGAGAAAGGAUUGUAUUUAAAUGGCGUUUUGGCAUUUGGAGGGAAACAGACACGCCCUGUCGGGUGAAAUCUCAGGGAUGAUCAGUGAACAAAAACACUGUCACCAAGUAAGUAAACAGUGACAAGUUUAUAAGAUGCUGUUGGCAGUAGCUGGAUUUCUCAGCGCUGAACACUUGAGCUGGGCAUGGUGGGAGCGGCUGGUUAGCCAUUUGUCAGGCAAAGUCAAAACAGCCCUCCAGCUACAGCACAGACGGCAGUCUGCAGCUCGUCAGCAUUUUAUUUAUGACUCUUAAUUAGCAAGCAAAAAAGGAGGGAAGAAGUUCCCAGUUUGGGAUAUACAUACUUAUACAUACAUAUUUUGCCCAGAAAUUAUCUUUGUCAAAAUAAUUUAAAUCCUUACAACCCUGGGAUGUAGAUAUUAUAAUUUACAUUUUAUAGACAGGAAAUUCCAUCCUGCAAGGUUUUUGUUUUUUAAGUCCUGUGAAAUCCAAAGGACAAAGUGUGUCUAUUUAUUCUCAAGGAUUCCAAGCCUCACUAAAGGAUGAACUGGAAGGCCACAGCUUCCAAACCCUCUGAGGAGGUGUGGUUGGCAUUGUGGAGAUGGCCAGUAUUUCUGGUUCUCUCCUCCUGCAGGGACAUGAAAAGAUCGCACUUCUCCAUCCCCCUGAAGGGUUUGAGCAACCCACCAGGGCAGCAGUACUCUGCCACCAGGGCAUCCAGCAUCAUGGAGCCUCAGAGAACACUGCUGCUCCUUCUUUUGCAUGGAGAAAGGGGCAAAAGGGAGUGAACCAGCGAACACACAAGUGUACCCAUGUGGUCUUCAUAGAAAGAUAUCACAUAGGGCAGAAGAUUUCAGGAAGAAAAAAGAAAAAAAAGAAAUCUUUUCAAAUCCAUUUAAAACAAUCCGUGCAGCUGUUUCCUGAACUCUCCAGAAGAACUGAGAUGCAAAAUGCUAUAUCUCCUCUCCAUCACUCCCCCCACCCCCACCCUGCUAACUGGCUUUCAGGUGACGCAAUGAUGAGACCUCUGCGGUGAGCUCUGUCUGGAGGGAUGCAGCCAGCUAACAAAGCAUGGGGUGCUGCCACCUCUUGGAUGUUCGUAGCCAAAGCAAGGCUCUGUCCCAGAAAGGAUGUAUUUCGGUGAUAUUAUGAAAUGUUAACGGGCAAUCUGUUCUGAAAUAAUUGCUCAGUGUGUUGGCCUCCUUUUCCAUUUUAGAAAUUCAAAGGCAUUGCAGGCCAAAAGCAGUGCCAGCCUGUUAGUGGUACCUACAUUGAUUAAAUCUAGCCCAUCACAACCACAGCUACACAAAAGCUCUUUUUCUCAAUUAAUAAAACGCAAUUAAUGGUAUCAUUGAAAAACUCCUGCCACUUCAAUUUAGAGCUAUGUACAGCUUCAAUUUAGAGCUGGGGGCAAAUUUUAGGAUAUGCUUUUUUUAGCUAACAUGAUUAACAGCACCUAAUUUCUGGGAUACACCCAAAUUUCUGCAGGGAAGAAAGAACGUUUACCAGAAACAUAUACAAUAAUGACAGCUUUCUUCCCCUUCUUUCCCUACACACACACACACACACACACACAGGCUCACACAUAUGCAACUCAAUUCAGUUCCAGUUAUUUGGUGGUCACACUGUCUCCCUUGCCUGUGGGAAACCUGAUAUGUCCACGCUGGAGAUAUCCAGGGUGCUCUGAAGUAGGAUACAAAGUCUAAGUCCUUUAUUGCAUGAUGGCUCUUUUGAAAUAUUUAUAUUGAUCAGCCCAGUUCCUGAGAGGAAAUACCUUGUUUCUCUUAUUCUCCCAGGUAUAGGUCAUUUGAGCUGUUGGGUUGUCAUUUUUUUAAUCUCCUCAUUUCCCUAAGGAUGGUGAGAGGAUGAUUUAAACGGCAACAUUAGCUGCUUUAGGCUAAAUUUUCAAAGCUACACCAGGGGAGUUAAAAGCGCAAAUCCUGUUAUUGUUACCGGAUUAAUGCACAGAAGUCCCAGAAUGCCACUUUGGAAAUGUAGCCAAGGAAUAUUAUUUUAAUGUACUGUAUGUUAUUUUUAGACUCAACCAUAGCCCAAUUAUCAGCUGGCAUAUCAAAAAUGAAACAAGACAGAUAGCUGUCUUUAAUCCAAAAUUCUAAUGAGGUUUUUGAUGUUUGUGUUUUCUCAUCACUUAGAAAUCUGGAUAUUUGGAGAAAAAAGUAAAAGAAACUACAACGGCUACCUCCUACCUGCUCUGUUGCUAUAGAGGCUGCUACUUAGAGUACUGGUUCUAUAGAAUAUUUUAUCACGGUUUUUUUUUUUUCCUUGGAGAGGCAGGUGGUAGGAAAGGAGGUAUUAAAUCAUUGAGACCUCUUGACCACACCAUAAAAAGCUGCAAAUCAACCACAGCAUACUAAUGAUUUCAAGGCAGCAAGUCAGGGUUCCUGCCACCAGUCAUUUCUAUUUCUGCUUUUACACAUCUUAGAUUGUUAUUUAAAAAUAACUAUCUGCAAAAGGUCUUCCAGUUGGAGUAACUUUGCUUCCAAGUUGCCCUGUGGGCAUCAACCAACAUUUAUUGAUUCUCUAGACGCCUGCUGUUGGGUUUUAUUAAACUGGGCCUGUCUUUCCUUUUGACCUCCGGGUAAUUGCAUGGAUCAGGAAUGACCACUUCACUGUGUCUUGGCUACAUCUACUCUGCUAGAUGAUGGCCCCCAGAAGAACUCUUGCCUUUCCGUUAAUCAAGAAAUCCUCUACACCAGUCGUUCCUCUCACUAAUUUUAAAAUCCCAGAGCAUCUUUUGCUAUCUCAAAAGGUAUUGCAUCUUUCUAAAAGGAACAAGCACGCUUGCACAGACCUGUUUUUGUGUGGGGCACAGUGGUGGGCCGUAUCCCCACUUCCGUAAACUCCAGGAUUUCACUUGGUCAGUAAAGACAGUUUCACUUGGAACUCUCUCUGUCUUUGGCCACCAAGGACUCGCAGAUCCCAGAGCCAUCUCAGCAAAGAGAACCAAACCCCUUUGGCACCACAGUGACCACCAGGCCUGACCUUGCUUUUCGGAGCAGAUGUGAGGAGAAUUAAAUGAGUAACGUUCUAAGAAGCACUCAGCACAGUGCUUGGCACACUGUAGGCUCCUCUGAGUUAAGGAAGGCACAGCACCAACAAUUUUUAAAAUUCAUCUUUUAUAUUUAUGUGCAUUUUUCAAUUUACAAAAUUAUUUUUACACAUUAUUUCAUCAGCAAUACAGUGAUGAGCCUCGUUAAUGCCUGCGGUGUGUACUUGAUGUGCAUUUAAUGUGGAGCUGACUCAAGUUACAUGUCGGCUUUUCCCGUGUCGUUUGUACAAAGAGGUUGGGCUAUAAAUAGGACUGAAAUGAAAUUCUGCACUUCAGUUUCUGGGGCGUUAUUCACAUCAUAACUACUAUUCAUCUGUGUUUCAUCAUCUCUGAAAUGGAAGUGAUUGGAGCCUAGACACUCAAAAACCAGAAGAGCGCUCCCAGUUGUAUAUCUGAAAAUUUUAAAAUAGAUUAAUUAAUAAUUCUUAUGAAUAUUUGCUAUUGGUAUAACAAUAAAUUAAGCACUAUGCUAUAUAUACUUUAUGAAUAGUUCCUCCUCUCAAGGAACACUCAUCUAAGAACUACCAGGAUACUUGUGUACACCUAUACUUUAUCAAGAAUAAAAACUUACCAGCACCUAACACAGUAGCACACCUCAUACUUUAUAAUUCCACAUAUUCAUGGAAUAAAUACGUAAAUGAAUGAACACUGUGAAUCACUAAAGAUGAAUUUCAGUGUCAGUUGGUGCAAGUAGAGAGAUCUGAGAACUCAUUGCCCCAUCUGUAAAAUGAGAGCACUAGCACUGCAUUGGAGAAUUAUUAUGAGGAUAAAGUGAGACAAUGUAUGCUAGGCAGCCUUCCAAAAUAGCUCUCAAUGAUCCUCGCCUCCUGGUUUUCAUGACCUGUGUAAUCCCCUGCCCUUAAGUGUGAACUGGUGAUGUGCUUCUAACUAACAGAAUAUGGCAGAGGUGGUGGGAUGUCACUUCUGUGAUUAGGUUACAAAGACUAUCACUUCCAUCUUGCUAGUGUUCUCUCUCUUGCUGGCACUCUCUCUUGCUCUCUUGCCUAUGAGAUGCUCAGAUGGCAAGGGACUGAGGUAGAUCUCUGACCAAAAGCUUGUGAGGAACUGAGGCUUUAGUUCAACAGCACUUGGGGUUCUAAAUCCUGCCCAAAACCACGAGUGAAAGCAAAUUCUCCCCUAGUCAAGCCUUGAGAUGACCACAUGCCUAAGUAGCACCUUGAUUGUGGCCUUGUGAGAGACCCUAAAGCUGAGGACCCAGUCAAGCCACACAAGGACUCCGGACCCACAGAAACUGGGAGAUAAUUAAUGUUGUUUUAAGGCAAUUUUGGUUUUUGGGUAAUUCGCUAUGCUGCAGCAAUAGGUAACUAAUACCAGGCCCUAUCACACCAUGGCUUUUUUAAAGUAUUCACUUUAUAGAAGCCAUUUUAUUAUAUAGCAGGGUUGUAAAUUAAAGUGAGCUUGUCUACAGGACUAGAGUUUUUACAGCUAGCAAAGAGAAUCACAGAGUUGCCCUUACUAAGGAGAAGAGCUAACUAGUUAGACAGUGGAAGGGAAUGACUGGGAUCUGUUCUGCUGAUAAUCUAUCUCCUCAGCAAACACCAAGACUAGAUCUGAAUUGCAACCAGUUCCAAACAGCAGUGAUGAAAGAAUGUCUCCAAUUACACAACUGGUGGGCAAAGACGCAGUUAAAUUCAUCACUGCUGAGCAGGGGUUGAAAUGGCAGUGGUCUCCUAUAACCACUUCCAUAAAACAUUGGGAAACACGGUUGUUUAGUGUGAACCCGGGCCUUGCAGAAAUUAAAUGAUUCCCUCAGCAGUCCUAUUUUGAACUGUUCUCAUCCCCUGCUGUAGACAGUUGGCUCUUAAUCCAUUUUAUAGAAGCACUUUCUGUUCCUUGGAUAAAAGGAAGUACAUAAAUUUCAAGUGCCAUAUUACCAUACAUGCUUGGUUCUGUUUGGGCACAAGCACGUUGUUCUUGUCAUAAAUUCUGACUCAGAAUGGGCGCUCAGGAUUUACCAUCUCACUCUUUAUAGUUACAAGAUCGACUAAACUGAUUACGAGAAGAAAUAUGUAAGCUUUGAAACUGUUCACACCAGUGAUGUGGCUCAGUAGCUUAUACAAGUGGCAAAUAACAGUCAGCCAAAAGAAGAAAAUUUCAGGAGAGACAAGGCUCCUAAAAACACAGGGUCGGUUGUGUUCAGAACUCAGGAGCAGUUGGUUCUCUUUGAAGCCUGGAAUACUUUCUCUACUCCCUGUUGUUGGACUACGGUCCUUGGAAGCAUGGGUUUAUCGCCGUGUAGUUCUCCCUCCAUCACACUGGAGUUUCUAAGGCCCUUCUCUUCUCCGGGGGGUGGCACCCCUAGUAAGUGAGGGGCAGUCAUUCUGGGGAAUGGAAUUUUCUCAAAUCCUCUACAUCUUCAGCUACAGAUUGUGUGUGUGUGUGUGUGUGUGUAUGAAUAUGUUGGUUUGGAUUGGUCGUUUUAGCUACUCAAGAGGGAUCUUGAGCCCCAC